rnacentral:snRNA from 1 species
AAAAAAAAAACAUGGAAUGCUACAGAGAAGAUUAGCAUGGCCCCUGUGCAAGGAUAACUCACAAAUUCGUGAAGUUCCAUAAAAGAGA